UACGUAGGGUGCGAGCGUUGUCCGGAAUUACUGGGCGUAAAGAGCUCGUAGGCGGUCUGUCACGUCGGCUGUGAAAACCCGAGGCUCAACCUCGGGCCUGCAGUCGAUACGGGCAAACUAGAGUACUGCAGGGGAGACUGGAAUUCCUGGUGUAGCGGUGAAAUGCGCAGAUAUCAGGAGGAACACCGGUGGCGAAGGCGGGUCUCUGGGCAGUAACUGACGCUGGAGGAGCGAAAGCGUGGGGAGCGAACAGGA
rnacentral:rRNA from 1 species